GAUGAACGCUGGCGGCGUGCCUAAUACGUGCAAGUCGAGCGAACAGAUGAGGAGCUUGCUCCUUCGACGUUAGCGGCGGACGGGUGAGUAACACGUAGGUAACCUACCUAUAAGACUGGGAUAACUUCGGGAAACCGGAGCUAAUACCGGAUAAUAUUUUGAACCGCAUGGUUCAAUAGUGAAAGAUGGCUUUGCUAUCACUUAUAGAUGGACCUGCGCCGUAUUAGCUAGUUGGUAAGGUAACGGCUUACCAAGGCAACGAUACGUAGCCGACCUGAGAGGGUGAUCGGCCACACUGGAACUGAGACACGGUCCAGACUCCUACGGGAGGCAGCAGUAGGGAAUCUUCCGCAAAGGGCGAAAGCCUGACGGAGCAACGCCGCGUGAGUGAUGAAGGUCUUCGGAUCGUAAAACUCUGUUAUUAGGGAAGAACAAACGUGUAAGUAACUGUGCACGUCUUGACGGUACCUAAUCAGAAAGCCACGGCUAACUACGUG
rnacentral:rRNA from 1 species